GACAGCAGCAGCCGCGGGAAUACGUAGGGUGCAAGCGUUAAUCGGAAUUACUGGGCGUAAAGCGUGCGCAGGCGGUUAUAUAAGACAGAUGUGAAAUCCCCGGGCUCAACCUGGGAACUGCAUUUGUGACUGUAUAGCUAGAGUACGGCAGAGGGGGAUGGAAUUCCGCGUGUAGCAGUGAAAUGCGUAGAUAUGCGGAGGAACACCGAUGGCGAAGGCAAUCCCCUGGGCCUGUACUGACGCUCAUGCACGAAAGCGUGGGGAGCAAACAGGAUUAGAUACCCCAGUAGUCCCUGUCUCUUAUAC
rnacentral:rRNA from 1 species